AACGCCUCUGGUUCUCAGCCAUUUUAUCUUCUACUAUUCAAAGUCGCAAUAGAAUAUAUA
rnacentral:tRNA from 1 species